rnacentral:tRNA from 1 species
CAAAAAAUAGUUUAAUAAAAAUAGUAAUUUUGGAGAUUACUGAUAAUAUAACAAUAUUUUUUUUGA